UAGGGAAUCUUCGGCAAUGGGGGGAACCCUGACCGAGCAACGCCGCGUGAGUGAAGAAGGUUUUCGGAUCGUAAAGCUCUGUUGUUAAGGAAGAACGAGUGUGAGAAUGGAAAGUUCAUGCUGUGACGGUACUUAACCAGAAAGGGACGGCUAACUACGUGCCAGCAGCCGCGGUAAUACGUAGGUGGCAAGCGUUGUCCGGAAUUAUUGGGCGUAAAGCGCGCGCAGGUGGUUUAGAAAGUCUGAAGUGAAAGCCCACGGCUCAACCGUGGAGGGUCAUUGGAAACUAAUAAACUCGAGUGCAGGAGAGAAAAGUGGAAUUCCUAGUGUAGCGGUGAAAUGCGUAGAGAUUAGGAGGAACACCGGUGGCGAAAGCGGCUUUUUGGCCUGCAACUGACACUGAGGCGCGAAAGCGUGGGGAGCAAACAGG
rnacentral:rRNA from 1 species